rnacentral:rRNA from 1 species
AUUGAACGCUGGCGGCAGGCUUAACACAUGCAAGUCGAGCGGGGUGAUGGUGCUUGCACUAUCACUUAGCGGCGGACGGGUGAGUAAUGCUUAGGAAUCUGCCUAUUAGUGGGGGACAACAUCUCGAAAGGGAUGCUAAUACCGCAUACGUCCUACGGGAGAAAGCAGGGGAUCACUUGUGACCUUGCGCUAAUAGAUGAGCCUAAGUCGGAUUAGCUAGUUGGUGGGGUAAAGGCCUACCAAGGCGACGAUCUGUAGCGGGUCUGAGAGGAUGAUCCGGCACACUGGGACUGAGACACGGCCCAGACUCUUACGGGAGGCAGCAGUGGUGAAUAUUGGACAAUGGGGGGAACCCUGAUCCAGCCAUGCCGCGUGUGUGAAGAAGGCAUUAUGGUUGUAAAGCACUUUAAGCGAGGAGGAGGCUAUUUUGGUUAAUACCCAAGAUGAGUGGACGUUACUCGCAGAAUAAGCACCGGCUAACUCUGUGCCAGCAGCCGCGGUAA